rnacentral:lncRNA from 1 species
UAUUUAGUGGGUCAUGAUUUUUUUCUAUACAUUUUUUUAGUAUGGACUGAAUUCAUUUGGCAACAAUACUUAGGCAUGGAUGACUGAUGGACCACUUCAAGUCCAAGGGACCUGAGAAGGUUGAUCAGAGAAGGUUGAUCAGAGAAAUGUUCUCAUUGACCUGAAUCUGAUUCUCCUCUUCACUGCUAAAAGCUAGAUCAUUUUCACUAUGAAGAAUAAAAGUAAUCUGCUUUUAGACUGUGAAAGAUUGUCUCAAGUCAGCUUGAAGGAAGAAGACAGAAACCACCAUCUUUCUAUCUUAAGAGAUUUUCACAACUGGAGACUCAUAAUCAGCACUUCAGUAUAUGGAUGCAAAGGUUAACCUACAAAGGUAUCCACACUGCUAAGAGCAAAGAGGGUCAGCCAUGCUCCACUCCUGCUCUAUCAGCCCACCUCUGGAAAUGGGCCUGACCCAAACAAAGGAAGGAAGACAAGUGUAACAGUAUGCAUUCAUAAUCUAUUAAUAUUCAUAGAGGUUUGCCUUUUCAUGCUAAUAGGCUUUUAAUGAUUUUGCAUAGGAGAAAAAAUGCCCUGUUUAAGGAAAGAGGGGACAACUAAAAAGUUAAAAUAUAGGGAAAAUAAUGUAAUGUAACUGUGUAGCAUGCCAUUGAAAUUUAUAAUGUAACUUGCACUGCCUCAGUUAUGAAAUGCUCUUACCCUUAUUCUGUUCAGUACAGUUUAGCACUCAACUGCUAAUAACUGCUCCUCUUUAACAUGCUCACUAACAGCACUAUUUUGCAGCCCAUUUUCAGUGCACACCUCAAUUUAGAAGUGGACUCUGCUGCUGGCUGCCAGCUGAUUUCCCUUCAGCAUACAGGCAGUGCUAAACUUCACUAAGGCUGGCUUUAUGUGGAGCUGUAGGGAUGAGGAGACAUGUAUGUGUGUGUUUUGGCUUCACUACAGCAGCAGCAAACAUGAAACACCAAAAAUCAGGAGUGCAACAGAUAAAUAAAUGAAUAUAGAAGAAAACUAUCCA